GAUGAACGCUAGCGACAGGCCUAACACAUGCAAGUCGAGGGGCAGCACGGUGUAGCAAUACACGGGUGGCGACCGGCGCACGGGUGAGUAACGCGUAUGCAACCUGCCUACUACAAGGGGAUAACCCGUUGAAAGACGGACUAAUACCCUAUAACACAGGGAAUCCGCAUGGAUAUAUUUGUUAAAGAUUUAUCGGUAGUAGAUGGGCAUGCGUUCCAUUAGCUUGUUGGUGAGGUAACGGCUCACCAAGGCAACGAUGGAUAGGGGAACUGAGAGGUUGAUCCCCCACACUGGAACUGAGACACGGUCCAGACUCCUACGGGAGGCAGCAGUGAGGAAUAUUGGUCAAUGGACGAGAGUCUGAACCAGCCAAGUCGCGUGAAGGAAGACGGCCCUACGGGUUGUAAACUUCUUUUGUAAGGGAAUAAAUAGUCUUACGCGCUAAGACGUUGCAGGUACCUUACGAAUAAGGAUCGGCUAACUCCGUGCCAGCAGCCGCGGUAAACUACUCG
rnacentral:rRNA from 1 species